CAUUGCACUUUAAUAUAUGUACAAGUAAUACUAGAUAUCGUGUAACGUCGUAGCAUAAACUGUUUGAAAUUCUCUUUGUCUACCUACAUUUCUGGAUUUUUACAAUUGAAUAUUUUUCAUCUAAUUUAUAAAUCACGUUUAUAAAAUCUAAUACGCUUAUAAAUUUUUAUAAAUGUACCUAUAAUUGGUUAAGCAAUAUUAAUAAUAAAACGAUGGCAUUUCACGAAGUUGAUAAAUUGACAGAAAACAAAUCGUCUAAUGACGGAGAAUUUACAUUAUAUGUAAGUGACUUACCUGGAGAACUAAAUAAACAAGGCUUAUUAGAAAUUUUCAACCAUUAUGGAGAAGUUAAAGGAUAUUUUUACCGCCCAAAUGCUAAUUGGGCUUAUAUUACUUAUGGUGCAUAUCAUAAUGCUGAAAAUGCUAUAAAAGAUUUACAUAACGUACUACCACUACGUCUGAAGAUAUCAUUUGCUAAAGAAAGAGCUAGGAAUGAUGUGACAAAUACAAAAACAUUUUCUACUAAAGAUGUUACAGAAGAAUAUGAAAAUUAUAAUAUAAUGAAUGUUACAGUAACAGAUAAGCAAUUGAUACAAACAAGAGGACGAAGCAGGCCCUUAGAUGUAUUCAAAAAUGUAGAACCGAAUCCAGGAUUACCAAAAUAUGCUUAUACGGCAGAUAAUGAUUUAUUGUAUCCAUAUCCUUCUGACCCAUAUACGUAUAAUCCAUAUGAAAAUGCAGAGCCUUAUGCAAGUACAAACACAUUGUGGACAAGAGGACAAUUAGCUAUUACUCCAGAUGGCAAGAGACGUGUUGCACUUGGUCGGGGUUAUACAAUGUAUGAAAUCCCAGAUCCUGAUCCUGAAAUACACAAUCACAUUAAUAAAGUAUAUGAGAAACGUAUUUCUAGCCUAUAUGAAUAUGGUAAAGACAUGUUUCAAGAUGCAAUUGGAACAUGCAAAGUAUGUUCAAAAAAGACAAAGUAUACAUGUGAAAGAUGCAAUACUUUUUAUUGCAGUAGAACUUGCCAAGUGACUAAUUGGUCAAAACAUAAGCUUGAAUGUGAAGCUAUCCCAGCUUUAGUAACGACUAUCCGUUCUAUGCCUGUACUACAAUCAAAUGACGAACAGCAAAAUUCUCCCAGAAAUGUUUCUAAUAUUCAAUUACCUCUUCGGCGGCCAAAGAUGAAUGCAGUAACAAAAUCAAAUGAAAUAGAAGAAACAAGAAACUCUACAGGAAAUAAGUCCUCUUUACACAAACAACCAAUUCGAGAAGAAAUUUUCAACAAUAAGGCUAAAAGUCCACAAAAAGUAAAUGAUCAGGAAAACAAUAAAAAAUGGCAAAAUUUUAGUGCCAAUGAUAUUCAAGUGAUGGAGAAUGAUAUAUCAUUCUCUAAAAAUACAUUUUUAUCAAAAACUGAAUUUCAAGAUGUAACAAUAAUUAUAAAACAAAAUCGCGAAUGUUUUGUUCAAAAAGUAGAAGAUCAGGAUGCUAUUUCAAAGUUAAUGACUGAGUUACAACAUGAAGCACAAAAAGCACAAAAGGUGGGACCAAUCGUUGGAAAUAUUUAUGCUGUAGAAUAUGAAAAUGUAUGGCAUAGAGGUAUAGUUACAUGUUUAGAUCCAGUAAAAGUACACUAUAUAGAUUAUGGUAAUGAAGAAAUUGUUGAAACGAAUGAUUUUCGUAAAAUUGAUAAAUAUGAGAAUAUUCCAAGAUUUUGUGCUAAAAUUCGAUUAUCUCAAAAAGCUUAUGAGAAAUAUAAAAAUUUCAAAUAUGAGGAUGUAAUAAGUGUAAAAAUGAUAUCAGUUGAUUCCAACAAAGUAAUUAAUGUUGAAGUUCAAAAUGAGAAUGAUAUAUCAACAUUAGAAGUAAUUGAGACAAAUAAUGAUCAAAAUCUAAAUACCUCAACUAUUGCAAAAGUUGAUGAUGAAACUAUGAUUUCUUCAGAAAUAUCCACUAGCAGUAAAGCAUUAUAUUCUUUAUGCAAAGAAAAAAGUAUAGUGAAUGUUCUAACUGUUGGAGAAAUUGGUAUUCUAGAAAUUCAUGCAGAAAUAAAGAAUAAUGCUUAUGGUAUUACAUUAUUGCCUAAUAAUGCAGUACCUCAUUAUGAAAAAUUAGUGGCCGAAUUACCUACAAUGUGCACGCAAGCGGCAGAAUGUUCAAAUCAUAGACCAAAUGUAGGGGAUUUAAUAUGUGGUCGAAGAGCUGAUGGAGAUUGGCUUAGGGGAUAUGUUGUAUCUAACCAACCAUCCAUAAGAAUGGCUAUGAUAGAGGAAGCUAAAAUAGUGCCAAUUAAUAAGAUUGCUACAUGCGAUAAACUCUUUUCAGAUAUUAAUGCUUUUGGUGCAAUUUGUGAAGUGACUAAUGCUAAACAUAAAUUUGAAGAAGGUGACAUGUGUGAAUUUGAAGUAACAGGCCAAACACAUAAUAAGGAACAAGGUGGAUUUGAAAUAUUAAUUCUUAAAAAAGAGAUGAAUGUCUAUCUGAAGAUAGAAGCUACCGUAAAGCCUUGGAUACCAAUGCCUGAACAAAUAGGGUUACAGUAUGCAGAAUUGAAAAAUGAAUCUGAGGUAUGCCUUACUUCUUAUCGAAGUCAUAUACAUCUAUUUGUUCGUCCCUUAGAUACUGCAGGUUUGGAACACUAUAACCAUGUUAUGCAAAAUGUUGCAAAAUGUGCUCAAACAUCUUCAUUUUUAAAAGAACUGCCAGUUGUGGGGCAAAUGGUAAUAGCUCAGUUUGCUGACGAAAAUUAUUAUCGUGCAAUUGUUAUUAAGAUACAAGAUGAUAAAAUUACAGUUUCGUAUGUUGAUUUUGGUAAUACAGAAGUUACAAAUAUAAAGAAACUUAAGAUUUUAUCUGAUAAUUUGAAGGAGCUCCGAUCUUGUACAACAAAAGUCGUACUAAAAGAUGUUCCUAAAAAUGUCCGUGUGACGAAAGAAGUGAAUGAUUAUCUAGCUCAAAUAGUAGGAACUAAAGUUCCUCUGUUAUGUACAUUUGAAGAUGACAGAUCGCUGUAAGCAACUGUAACACCUCACCAUUUACAAGCUCGUGUAAUAUAGUAACUAAAGUAUAAUACUUACGAUAGCGUUUAUGGAUCAAUACAGGUGAUAUAUACAGGGUGGUUGGGAACUGGUGAUACAAGCGGAAAGGGGGUGAUUCUACGCGAAAAAAGAAGUCGAAAAUAUAGAAUAAAAAUUUUUCGUUUGGGGCUUCGUUUUCGAGGAAAUCGACUUUGAAUUUUCGCUGGGUACGCGUGCACUAUAUCACGUCUCGUUAUAACGGAUCUCACUGUAAAUCGUUGCUCGAUGGAAAAAUUAAAAAAAAAAAAUUUUCAUUCUAUAUUUUCGACUUCUUUUUUCGCGUAGAAUCACCCCCUUUCCGCCUGUACCACCAGUUACCAACCACCCUGUAUAAUAAUUAAUUAUUAUUAACAAGGUCUUCGUUAUUAAAACGUAAAUGUUUCAGUAUAAGAAAUACAUUUAUAACAUUCUGUAAAAAGACACGUUUUUUUCAAAUUUAUAAUCAUAUCAAUGCUGAAGUAAAAGGAAAAGUUCAAAACUGCAAUUCCCUCGAAGAAUAAAUGUUAAGGACACGAAAUUAGGUGAAGGUGCACAGGCAAGUGUUUUAACGUGUUUAGAGAACGGACUCCAUCAGUUUCAUUAUUGUAUGGCCCUGUUGGUGAUUGUUUAAUUAUUAUCGAUGGAAAGGAUUUAAUAGGACUAAGAAUAAUACAAAUGACGGCUUUAAUCCACCAUUAUGAAGGAUGUGAUUUAAAAUAAUUUAUCUGGAGAUACAUUAACGAAGGAGUAAAAGAAUUUGCGUAGCAGUGAAAGGACCAUUGCCAGAAGUGGCCUGUAAACUUGCAGACGCUUUGCGAUAUUUUAGAAAAUUAAUUACUAAAUUCAUCUAGACCCGAGUUCUAGAAUGCUCAGUUUUUCAGGAAAUCUCACUGCCACCAAGUCCUUGGUUUGUUCAUGGUCAUAUCGUUUGUGUUGGAUGUAGAUUGAAAACACGUCAAGUCGGACAUCAAAUCAUCAAACACGAGAAUACGUCUGCUAGGAUUUUACAUGAUUGUUUAUGAUCUAUUCAUUAUCCAAUAACACGAAUAGUUAUUAACUAAUGCCAGUAAACAUUAAUUUAAUUGAAGUUUAUGGUAUUAAGAAACGUGCGAUUUAUAUCUUCGAAAUGUGUGUCUUAUGAAUCAAAAUGAAAUACGAAAUUUGGGAGUGAUCACAGUUAUUAUUGAUUAAUAAUUUUGACAUUAAAUCGAUAAAUUUCUUAAAUAAACUUUGUUCAUUGCCACG